rnacentral:lncRNA from 1 species
ACUUUGGGUUAUAUUUCCUUUUUCAGCUCUAUAAGUAAUUGUAUAAAAGCAAGCAUUGUUGGUUGGGAGCCAGGGCUGGGAGAAGGUGAUGAGAGAGGGAAGCUGAGUGCUUAGAAACGUUGUCAAGAAAUACGUGGGAGGUGUUAUAAAGGUGACCAUUACAGAGGUCGUCAGAUAAGCUUAGCAAGAAGGGCUCCCUGUAGUUUGGAGGACUGCAAAUUUUUUUAAAAGCACUCCAGCCUCAGAAUGUUGCUGUAAUAGCCAAUACUGACAGAUGGCAUUAAAGACACAGGCAGAGAACCAGCGUGGUUUUGAUUCUUUACUCCCAUUACAGGCUCUUUCAGUGCAUGCCUUGUGGGUUAAUUACUUGAGCUUUCACAGAAGGAAUGCUGGCUUCUGGUACAGCAGCUUGUAGCAAGACGCGGUAAGAAAUCGCACAUGAUUUUGAGACUUGUAGCCUGUGAAUGUGUGUCACCCUGGAAACUGCUUGCACCUGCAAGCGUGAGUCAUAAGAGCUGAGAAAUUGCAGGGAGAGUUUUGUAGCUGUUUCUGAGCGCUGGGUAUUGUUCGUCAACAAAGCCAUGUAGAACAGAAUAGCUGUAUUUUGACAUUCUAUUUGCUCUGGUGUGACCGGAGCACCUACGUGCUCACCCCUGUCCCACUGCACUGCACUUGUGUGCCAGCUAAGAUCCUACCGCCUUCAUUUAACUUCAGCUGUUUUACGUGAGUCAGCCUGUUUGGAGGCAUCGCCUGUAAUGAGUGGUAUCCAGAAACACUGACUCACUGAAGUCAUGGAACAAUAAUGAAGGUUAACUGUCCAAAGGAAACACAGCAAAUGAAAACAUUUCUGAAAUGCCUAUUGCUCACGCUUGAUUUCUGGAGGGGGAAGAAGAAAAGUAAAUUGUUCAUGCAGAACUGUGCAGAGACACUCGUUUCAUUUUCUUGUUCCCUCCUAAGCAGUGCACAGAGACUGCCCGGCUGUGAGGCUUAA